rnacentral:lncRNA from 1 species
ACAGAACUAGAGGCUCUAAAGAGCCUGUGUCGCUCACCUUGGUCUGUGAAUAUAAAAGGAAGCAGAUGGAUUCAUGACACAAUUGUGUUUUGGUGAUGGUGAUGUGUUUGUACAUCUUACUUUACUGAACAUUCUUGCUGCUUAAAAUUAUCUCUAUCUAUAAUGAACUUGGCCCAUUAGUUUCACUGGAAAAUGUUAGUAAAAAUUUACAAAUUUUAUGAAAAUUGUUAAAAAUUGACUAUAAAGAACAAUAACUCCUAAGGGGGUCAAUUGACCAUUUCGGUCAUAUUGACUUAUUUGUAAAUCUUACUUUGCUGAACAUUAUUGUUGUGUUUACAGUUUAUCUCUAUCAAUAAUAAUAUUCAAGAUAAUGACCAAAAACAGCAAAAUUUCCUUAAAAC